CGGCGCGCAGGCAGCUUCUGCCACGGGUGGCGCUUGCCCCGGGCUGCGAGAAAAGUUGCUAAGCUGAGCUAGGAAGAGGGCGUGCCGGGUGACCUGCCUGAAAGGCUAGGGCCAAGGAACAAGCGGUGAUUAAGAAGAGACCAGCAUCACUGAGAUGAGAUCUUCUGGGAAGUGUUUUCUUGAGGCAGACACACAGAAGCUGUGCACUAGAGGACACUAAGCCUGUGCCUGCUGCUAGCAGCUGGAUCUGGUAAGUUUCCUUCUAUGUGCCCUGGAUGAGACUCUUGGCCAUGUUGUUUUCAAAGAGCAACCACAGCAUAUCUAUUACCAACCAGGACCACCACAGGUGAACGCCAUGCUGACAAAAAGUGUGGGAGCUCAUCGGACCCGCUUCCUUUCUUUGCCCCCCCCCCACAACUAUUAUACAAGCUUUCUGUCUUGGAAGAGAGGGCUGCUUGGAGUCAUCUGAGGACCGAAGAGACUCUUUGAUGGUAGAAAUUCUACAGCAGGUUCUUUAGUUAUCAUCAGAGAAGCUUCCUAUUGCAGGAGGUGGGAACUAAGAAAGACACCCACAAUGGACAAUGAACAGAGACCAAGAGAUUUUGGAAGACUCUGUCCUUAAUGGGAAGUCCCCAUCAAACUUCUCCUCUCAGGACUCAGGAAGCAACAGGAAGAGGAGGUGGAAAGUCUCUUAAGGACCAGAGGGGUUCUGCAACAAAACAACGUCUUCAUGACCUAAUAGAAUUGAUGCACUUAUGCAUCCAAAGAGAUUGUAGCAGCAUGCAGAUUCAAGCCAGAUGAGGGCCCCAAAAUGGAGAGAGGGGAGUGGACACAGACUACCACCCCUAAUCAAGAAGCUAUCUACAAUUGACACCCAUUGCCAAAGGCAAAAUUUGUUUUCUCCAGUAGAGUUUGACUGGGUAUAUUAACCACACUUAAGGGUAGGCCCCCACACCCAGCAGUAGAUAGCUAACACAAUCCAA